rnacentral:rRNA from 1 species
UACGAAGGGGGCUAGCGUUGCUCGGAAUCACUGGGCGUAAAGGGUGCGUAGGCGGCUUUUUAAGUCAGGGGUGAAAUCCUGGAGCUCAGCUCCAGAACUGCCUUUGAUACUGAGAAGCUUGAGUCCGGGAGAGGUGAGUGGAACUGCGAGUGUAGAGGUGAAAUUCGUAGAUAUUCGCAAGAACACCAGUGGCGAAGGCGGCUCACUGGCCCGGUACUGACGCUGAGGUGCGAAAGCGUGGGGAGCAAACAGG